rfam:Oryza rufipogon genomic scaffold, chr03
AAAAAGUUGUUCAAUAUUUUACCGUCCGUCUUAUUUAAAAAAAUUAUAAAAAAAAUUAAAAAUAUAAGUCAUAUAUAAAAUAUUAAUCAUAUUUUAUCAUCUAACAACAAUGAAAAUACUAAUUAUAAAAAAAUUUCAUAUAAGAUGGACAGUCAAACGUUGGCACGGAAACCCACGGUUUGCCUUUUU